GGCCAGAUAGCUCAGUUGGUAGAGCACCGACUGGAGAUUGAGGGGGCCCGGGUUCGAAUCCCGGUCUGGUCU